UCUCCGUUGGUGAACCAGCGGAGGGAUCAUUACAGAGUUGCAAAACUCCCAAACCAUUGUGAACGUUACCUAUCCCGUUGCUUCGGCGGGCGGCCCGGGCCCCGCGCCCGGCGCCCGCCGGCCCCCCGUGGGCGCCCGCCGGAGGUAAACCAAACCCUUGAAUUGCAUGGCCUCUCUGAGUCUUCUGUACUGAAUAAGUCAAAACUUUCAACAACGGAUCUCUUGGUUCUG
rnacentral:misc_RNA from 1 species